GAUGAACGCUGGCGGCGUGCCUAAUACAUGCAAGUCGAGCGAACGGACGAGAAGCUUGCUUCUCUGCUGUUAGCGGCGGACGGGUGAGUAACACGUGGAUAACCUACCUAUAAGACUGGGAUAACUUCGGGAAACCGGAGCUAAUACCGGAUAAUAUUUUGAACCGCAUGGUUCAAAAGUGAAAGACGGUCUUGCUGUCACUUAUAGAUGGAUCCGCGCUGCAUUAGCUAGUUGGUAAGGUAACGGCUUACCAAGGCAACGAUGCAUAGCCGACCUGAGAGGGUGAUCGGCCACACUGGAACUGAGACACGGUCCAGACUCCUACGGGAGGCAGCAGUAGGGAAUCUUCCGCAAAGGGCGAAAGCCUGACGGAGCAACGCCGCGUGAGUGAUGAAGGUCUUCGGAUCGUAAAACUCUGUUAUUAGGGAAGAACAUAUGUGUAAGUAACUGUGCACAUCUUGACGGUACCUAAUCAGAAAGCCACGGCUAACUACGUG
rnacentral:rRNA from 1 species